UUUUGCACUGUAGAGCAGGCAAGCAUCAUCAGCAAACAAUUUGCUCAAGAAAUUGGAGCAGUUAGACAGAUCAUUUAUGUAAAUUAAGAAACCAAGAGGACCUAACACACUACCUUGAGGAAUUCCGUGAUGAAUGGGCAACAUCGGAGACUGCUGAGAAUCCACCUCCACAUAUUGGAAUCGACCCGAAAGAUUCAAUAUCAUUUGGAGGACCUCUGCAGGAGUAGUUACUUCAAGAAAGAAAGAGCUUUGCAGAGGAGCACCCAAGAAAGAGCGGUAUCAAUGUAGUUGUUACACAUCGACUCGACCUCAGAUC